GACAGAGGGUGCAAACGUUGCUCGGAAUCACUGGGCGUAAAGGGCGUGUAGGCGGUUUGUCGCGUCUGCCGUGAAAGUCCGGGGCUCAACUCCGGAUCUGCGGUGGGUACGGGCAGACUAGAGUGAUGUAGGGGAGACUGGAAUUCCUGGUGUAGCGGUGAAAUGCGCAGAUAUCAGGAGGAACACCGAUGGCGAAGGCAGGUCUCUGGGCAUUAACUGACGCUGAGGAGCGAAAGCAUGGGGAGCGAACAGG
rnacentral:rRNA from 1 species